rnacentral:rRNA from 1 species
CCUACGGGUGGCAGCAGUGGGGAAUAUUGGGCAAUGGGCGCAAGACUGACCCAGCAACGCCGCGUGAAGGAAGAAGGCUUUCGGGUUGUAAACUUCUUUUCUCAGGGACGAAGCAAGUGACGGUACCUGAGGAAUAAGCCACGGCUAACUACGUGCCAGCAGCCACGGGAAUACGUAGGUGGCAAGAGUUAUCCGGAUUGACUGGGUGUAAAGGGCGUGUAGGCGGGACUGCAAGUCAGAUGUGAAAACCACGGGCUCAACCUGUGGCCUGCAUUUGAAACUGUAGUUCUUGAGUACUGGAGAGGCAGACGGAAUUCCUAGUGUAGCGGUGAAAUGCGUAGAUAUUAGGAGGAACACCAGUGGCGAAGGCGGUCUGCUGGACCGCAACUGACGCUGAGGCGCGAAAGCGUGGGGAGCGAAAGGGAUUAGAUACCCGGGUAGUC